CGCGUAGGCGGGAUGGCAAGUCGGUCGUGAAAUCCUUCGGCUCAACCGAAGAACGUCGAUCGAUACUGCUGUUCUUGAGGGUUGCAGAGGAGACUGGAAUUCCCGGUGUAGCGGUGAAAUGUGUAGAGAUCGGGAGGAACACCGGUGGCGAAGGCGGGUCUCUGGGCAAUUCCUGACGCUGAGGCGCGAAAGCGUGGGGAGCAAACGGGAUUAGAUACCCCGGUGGUCCACGCUGUAAACGAUGACGACUAGGUGUGGGGGGGUUCAGUCCCCUCCGUGCCGCAGCUAACGCAUUAAGUCGUCCGCCUGGGGAGUACGGCCGCAAGGUUGAA
rnacentral:rRNA from 1 species